rnacentral:lncRNA from 1 species
UUUUUUUUUUUUUUUUUUUUUGGUCUUUUGUCCUUUUAGGGCCUCGCCCACAGCAUAUGGACGUUCCCAGGGUAGGGGUCUAAUCAGAGCCACAGUAAUGCCAGAUCCAAGCCGCAUCUGUGACCUACACCACAGCUCACGGCAAUGUGGAUCCUUAAUCCACUGAGCAAGGCCAGGUAUAGAACCGGCAACCUCAUGGUUCCUAGUCGGAUUCGUUUCCACUGCGCCACGACAGGAACUCCAGUAGCUCUAUUUUUAAUUUUUUGAGGAACCCCUGUAUUUUCUCCCAUAGUGGCUGUAUCGAUUUACAUUCCUGCCAGUAGUGCACAGAGGUUCCCUUUUCUCCAUAUAUUUGCGAAUGCUUCUAUUUCUUGUCUUUUUGAGAAUGCCAGUCUAACAAGUGUGGAAUGAUAUUUCACUGUGAUUUUGAUUUGCAUUUCCAUGAUGAUUAAUGAUGUAGAGUAUCUUUUCAGGUGCCCAUUAGCCAUCUGUACAUAUUCUUGGUAAAAAUGUUUAUUAAAUUCCCCUGCCCAUUUUUAAUCAGAUUCUUUGGUUUUAUGCUAUUGAGUUGUAUGAGUUCUUUAUAUAUUUUGAAUAUUAACCCUUUAUGAUAUAUAUGAUCUGCAAAUAUUUUCUCCCAUUCAGUAGAUUUUCCUUUCAGUUAGUUGAAAGUUUCAUUUGCUGUGUGUAUAUUUUAUGAAUAGUGUCUGAUAUGCAGUGAGCACUUUGUAAGCUAUAAUUGUGAUUAUUCCAAAAACUGGAGGAAAAUAUAAGGAGGGAAUGUGGUAAUGCAAUAUAGGCCCAAGAGGUAGAAAGAGAUGGGAUAAAAGACACCUCUUCUUUUGUUUUAAUCAUAAACCAUUUAGUAAUAUUUGAUUUUAAACUUUUAUACAUUUUACUUGAGCAAAAUAAAAUUAAUUGACAUGAAUUUAACUGGCAGUUAAAGAUUAGAAGGAAAACUAUGAGAACAGGGCUAUGCUAUGAUGAAUGUAAUGAUUUGAAUGAAAAUUGGAACAAAGAAAUUAAUCAAUCCAUUAAAAGCAGGGACGUGAAAAAAAAUCAACACAGACUUCCCCAACAAAGAAAGAAAUUUGAAUAAGCCUCAAGUAGGGGAAAAAGUAAAAAUGCAAGUGAAUGACAUUAGAAAUUAGAAAAUGGUUUGAACUACAGAUAAAGAGAGCUUUACACCAAAAAAUUGAAUGCAUAAUGUUCUGAGGAAGAUAAAAGAGGCAAAUCAUCUCAGAAGAAGGUAGGAAACAAGAGCUGACCCACUAGAGAGGAGAGGAGAAGCUGAAAGGGCAAAGAUAACCCUGUAAACAAAGCAGCAGUUUUACAAGAAUGUAGCACUCCAUGGGUUUGACACAGAUAAUUUGUGUCAUUAUUUAAACCAUUUCAGACCAAACUUUGUAUCCUAACUCAUCUCAUAAGGCCAGGCAAACCCACAUACUUACAUUGAAUGAGAAAAGCCCACACAAUCCCAAAGUCUCUCACUUAUGAGACACAUGUGGAAAAGAAUGUAAAUAAUUCCAUACAUGGGCAAGUAACACCCAGGCCUUUCAUUCCAAGUUGGUCCUUUCCUAUGAAACUGUUCCUUUGAGCAACGAGACUGUCACCAAAACAAGGUCAGCCUGACUACAGCCACCCACACAUGUAGCUUCAGGGCCUCCCCAGUGUUCCCUGCUCCGUGGUCUGGGAUGUAAAAGAUGUAAGGCCUUCUCAUGAAGUCCACAGUGAAGUUUGACCUGUGUUAAGAAGCACGACACACAACAGCCUUUAUCUGGCGUUCAGAUCUAUUUUGCUGCUAUGACUACCUAAGUUCUCUUUCUUUACUUCUCCUUUUGCCAUUUUCCUCAAAUGGCACUUACAGUGAUGUAUGAUGGCAAGAAUCACAUCCUUGGAAAGGCAUAUUUAUACCCUAGUGAAUACAUAGGUAAAAUAUGUGCAUUUCUAUGUCUAUGGAGGUGGAGAAUAAAGAGUAAACAAGUCCCCCCACUUAGUCAACAAAACUUUGUCAAGCGUUCCAAAAGUUUUAAAAAAAAUAAUGAACUAAAGCAAAAGGAAGCAAAAUGUCUUGAUGUUUUGCUCCCUUGAACUAUCACCAUGAAAAUCUUCAGAGAAUUUCAUGUCAUUUUUCUCUUUUGUUCUUGUCAAAUUCUGUGAUCCCUUGUUUACAAUAUUUUUAACCUCUUUUCACACGUACAAAUUUUUUCUUUCCAAUUUAAAUACUUGUAAGUAAAAGGACUACUCUCUUCUGUGGACCCAAAACAGUUCUGGAAAGAAGAGAGAACUGUUGGGAGAGGGUGUCUUGAGUACACUCAGCCCUAAAGAAAGCUUCGUAAUUUUUGUUUGUCUCUUUUUUCUUUUUAGGUUUUUUAAAUUUUUUUAAAUAAAAUAUGGUUGAUUUAUAAUGUUCUCUCAAUUUCUGAUGUACAGCAAAGUGACCCAGUGAUACAUAUACAUAUUCUUUUUCUCAUACUAUCUUCCAUCAUGUUCUAUCACAAGAGAUUGGAUAUAGUUCCCUGUGCUGUACAAUAAGACCUCAUUGCUAAUCCAUCCUAAAUGUAAUGGUUUAUAUCUACUAACCCCAAACUCCCAGUCCAUCCCACUCCCUACACCCUUCCCCUUGGCAACCACAGGUCUAUUCUCUAUGUCCGUGAGUCUGUCUCUAUUCUGUAGAUAGGUUCAUCUGUGCCACAUUUUAGAUUCCACAUGUAAGUGAUAUCUUAUGGUAUUUAUCUUUGACUUACUUCACUUAGUUUGAGAAUCUCUAGUUGCAUCCAUUUUGCUGCAAAUAGCAUUAUUUCAUUAUUUUCAUGGCUGAGUAGUAUUCCAUUGUGUAUACAUAUCACAACUUCUUAAUCCAUUCAUAUGUCAAUGAACAUUUAGGUUGUUUCCAUGUCUUGGCUAUUCAAGUAGAAAUAGAAAGGCUUGUAACAUUGAUGCACAAGGGAAGAAUUGGUUCAGUCCUUAUAAAAGUCAGCAUAUUGUUCUAAGAAAAUCAAUGCUGUAUUAAAAGUUAUAACAAGUUAUUACCAAGCAAAGUUUAUUCCAAUAGUAAUAAGACCUAAUUUAAUAACUCCAUUUAUAUAAUCCUAUAUAUGUUAAAAAAAUAAAAAUAAAUUUCAUGUAAUCAUCUCAAUGGCUGCCAGAAAUUAUACUUCAUUACCUAGCUAAAAAGAAAAUCAACAUAGCAAACUAGAAGAUACUUAUUAAUAGCUCUAUUGGAAUCCAACAGCAAGUAUCAUGUUUUCAGUGUUGAAACAUUAAAGCAUUUAUAUUAAAAUUAUAGGAAAUACAUGAGUUCCCAUCAUGGCACAGCGGAAAUGAAUCCGACUAGGAACCAUGAGGUUGCAGGUUCAAUCCCUGGCCUCACUGAGUGGGUUAAGGAUCUAGCGUUGCCGUCACCGUCGCUGUGAGCUGUGGUGUAGGUCGCAGACGCAGCUCAGAUCUGAUGUUGCUGUGGCUCUGGCAUAGGCCAGCAGCUAUAGCUCCAAUUGGACCCCUAGCCUAGAAACCUCCAUAUGCCGCUGGUGCCACCCUAAAAGGACAAAAGAUUUUUAAAAAUUAAAGGAAAUACAAAUGUGUUUCUGUCUCUUUUUCUUUUUUUUCCACUGUACAGCAUGGGAACCCAGUUACACACACAUGUAUACAUAAUUUUUUCUCCCAUUGUCGUAAGUACAGCGUUGUAAGUAUCUAGACAUAGUUCUCAGUGCUGCACAGCAGGAUCUCAUUGUUAAUCCAUUCCAAAAGCAAUAGUUUGUAUCCUACCCCAAGCUCCCAAUCCCUCCCCCCUCCCUUCCCCUCCCCCCAAGUCCAUGAUUUUCUUUUCUGUGGAAAGGUUCAUUUGUGCUCUAUAUUAGAUAUCAGAUAUGUGUGAUAUCAUCUGGUAUUUGUCUUUCUCUUUCUGGCAUACUUCACUCAGUAUGAGAGUCUCUAGUUCCAUCCAUGUUGCUGCAAAUAGCAUUAUUUUGUUAUUUUUAUGGCUAAGUAGUAUUCCAUUGUGUAUACAUACCACAUCUUCCUAAUCCAGUCAUCUGUUGGUGGACAUUUAGGUUGUUUCCAUGUCUUGGCUAUUGCAAAUAGAGCUGCAAGGAACAUGUGGGUGCAUCUGUCUUUUUUAAGGAAAGUUUUGUCUGGAUAUAUGCCCAAGAGUGGGAUCACUGGGUCAUGUGGUAGUUCUAUGUAUAGAUUUCUAAGGUACCUCCAUACUGUUCUCCAGAGUGGUUGUACCAGCUUACAUUCCCACCAACUGUGCAGGAGAGUUCCCUUUUCUCCACAGCCCCUCCAGCACUUGUUAUUUGUGGACUUAUUAAUGAUGGCCAUUCUGGCUGGUAUGAGGUAAUAUCUCAUGGUAGUUUUGAUUUGCAUUUCUCAGUGAUUUUUUUCAUGUGCUUGUUGGCAAUCUGUAUAUCUUCCUUGGAGAAAUGUCUAUUCAGGUCUUUUGCCCAUUUUUCUAUUACUAUUUAAUAUUUGCUGUCCAGUCCAAUAAGAAAAGUAAAGAAAUAAGUAAAUAAGUGGCACAUAUUGGGGGGGAAAAAGCAUAUAGCUAUGAUUAUUUCUGAGUUCCCAAACCCCAGCUGGUAAGCCCUCUCAUAUUUCUGAGUAAUAUGAACAAUGAAGUCUAAACAUAUUACUAGAAAAACUUUACAAGAAAUUAAGAAAAUUCUCUAAUGCGUAGUAUGAAAGUACAAAAAAACUACACCAUCUCUACAUACCAAUAAUGACUAAUUAGAAAAUUAAUGAGGGAAAUACUUUAAUAAUAAAGAUAAUAAAAAACAUUACAUAUUUAUAAAUAAGCCAGUUUGAGAACUCUAUAAAUCAUAUAGAGACAAACUACAAAAUUAGAUUGGACAGUAAGAGAUAUAUAAUGUGGAAGGACGCAAUGCCCAUGGAAGACUCAGCAAUGUAAAGACAGUAUCAACUUAAAACACACACACACAAGGUAAAAGCUGUGAGUCAAGUUUAUUCAGUAUCUUACUGAGGACUAUAGCCUUGGAGCCAGGCUCUCAGAGAGCUAUGUGAAACUGUUCUGAAGAGGUAAGGGAAGGAGUAAGCCAGUGUGUAUGGGAUUUGGGGGAAGGAGUACAUGCAACCAAGCAUUACAUCUUAGUAGAAGUUUGCCAGUAGUCACAAGGGACAGAAAUCCUCUUGGUGUCAGUGCCUUUCUAAGUGUGCGUAGGUACAAGAAUCUAGAAUUCAUAAAAAAUUCUUCCCAAAAUAUCUAUCUGAUGUCCUAUUCUACCAGUUUUCCCAGAAAAUUAUACGACAUUCCUGAUUUCCACUCUCAGUUCCUUUCAGGGUGUGUUGAAGGUCAGUGGCAGCAAUGCUAGUAAGUUAUUCUUUGUAGAACCAGAGAGCUAGUAACAUCCUUCAGUUGUCAAUAACAAUGUUAAUUCCCCAAAUUGAUAGCAAUUAAAUUGAAUCCCAUUAGGUUACGGCUUUGACAA